rnacentral:rRNA from 1 species
UCUUUCAGCAGGGACGAAGCGUAAGUGACGGUACCUGCAGAAGAAGCGCCGGCCAACUACGUGCCAGCAGCCGCGGUAAGACGUAGGGCGCGAGCGUUGUCCGGAUUUAUUGGGCGUAAAGAGCUCGUAGGCGGCUUGUCGCGUCGACCGUGAAAACUUGGGGCUCAACCCCAAGCCUGCGGUCGAUACGGGCAGGCUAGAGUUCGGUAGGGGAGACUGGAAUUCCUGGUGUAGCGGUGAAAUGCGCAGAUAUCAGGAGGAACACCGGUGGCGAAGGCGGGUCUCUGGGCCGAUACUGACGCUGAGGAGCGAAAGCGUGGGGAGCGAACAGGAUUAGAUACCCUGGUAGUCCACGCUGUAAACGUUGGGCGCUAGGUGUGGGGGGCCUCUCCGGUUCUCUGUGCCGCAGCUAACGCAUUAAGCGCCCCGCCUGGGGAGUACGGCCGCAAGGCUAAAACUCAGAGGAAUUGACGGGGGCCCGCACAAGCGGCGGAGCAUGCGGAUUAAUUCGAUGCAACGCGAAGAACCUUACCUGGGUUUGACAUGGCCGCAAAACUCGCAGAGAUGUGAGGUCCUUCGGGGGCGGUCACAGGUGGUGCAUGGCUGUCGUCAGCUCGUGU